UGGGGAAUUUUGGGCAAUGGGCGAAAGCCUGACCCAGCAACGCCGCGUGAAGGAUGAAGUAUUUCGGUAUGUAAACUUCGUAAGAAUAGGAAGAAUAAAUGACGGUACUAUUUGUAAGGUCCGGCUAACUACGUGCCAGCAGCCGCGGUAAUACGUAGGGACCAAGCGUUGUUCGGAUUUACUGGGCGUAAAGGGCGCGUAGGCGGUGUGUCAAGUCAGUUGUGAAAUCUCCGAGCUUAACUCGGAACGGUCAACUGAUACUGUCACACUAGAGUACAGAAGGGGCAAUCGGAAUUCUUGGUGUAGCGGUGAAAUGCGUAGAUAUCAAGAGGAACACCUGAGGCGAAGGCGGGUUGCUGGGCUGAUACUGACGCUGAGGCGCGAAAGCUAGGGUAGCAAACGGGAUUAGAUACCCUGGUAGUCCCUGAGCGGGCUGGCAAGGCGCAU
rnacentral:rRNA from 1 species